GAUGAACGCUGGCGGCGUGCUUAACACAUGCAAGUCGAACGGUGAACACGGAGCUUGCUCUGUGGGAUCAGUGGCGAACGGGUGAGUAACACGUGAGCAACCUGCCCCUGACUCUGGGAUAAGCGCUGGAAACGGCGUCUAAUACUGGAUAUGUGACGUGACCGCAUGGUCUGCGUUUGGAAAGAUUUUUCGGUUGGGGAUGGGCUCGCGGCCUAUCAGCUUGUUGGUGAGGUAAUGGCUCACCAAGGCGUCGACGGGUAGCCGGCCUGAGAGGGUGACCGGCCACACUGGGAUUGAGACACGGCCCAGACUCCUACGGGAGGCAGCAGUGGGGAAUAUUGCACAAUGGGCGAAAGCCUGAUGCAGCAACGCCGCGUGAGGGAUGACGGCCUUCGGGUUGUAAACCUUUUUUAGCAGGGAAGAAGCGAAAGUGACGGUAUCUGCAGAAAAAGCGCCGGCUAACUACGUG
rnacentral:rRNA from 1 species